rnacentral:tRNA from 1 species
GCGAGCGUGACUUAUUGGCUGAGUUCCUGCCUUCCAAGCAGGCCAAGAGAGUUCGAUUCUCUCCGCUCGCUCCA